AGGGUUCGAUUCUGGCACAGGACGAACGCUGGCGGCGUGCCUAACACAUGCAAGUCGAGCGGAGCUAAUAGCAAUGUUAGCUUAGCGGCGGACGGGUGAGUAACGCGUGGGUAACCUGCCUUGUACAGGGGGAUAACACAGGGAAACUUGUGCUAAUACCGCAUAACAUCGCAUCAUGGCAUCAUGGAGCGAUCAAAGGAGCAAUCCGGUAUAAGAUGGACCCGCGUCCGAUUAGCUAGUUGGAGGUGUAAUGGACCACCAAGGCGACGAUCGGUAGCCGAACUGAGAGGUUGAACGGCCACAUUGGGACUGAGACACGGCCCAGACUCCUACGGGAGGCAGCAGUGGGGAAUAUUGCACAAUGGGGGGAAACCCUGAUGCAGCAACGCCGCGUGAAGGAUGAAGGUCUUCGGAUUGUAAACUUCUUUAGUCGGGGACGAAAAAAUGACGGUACCCGAAGAAUAAGCCACGGCUAACUACGUGCCAGCCGCGGC
rnacentral:rRNA from 1 species